rnacentral:rRNA from 1 species
GACGAACGCUGGCGGCGUGCUUAACACAUGCAAGUCGAACGGAAAGGCCCUGCUUUUGUGGGGUGCUCGAGUGGCGAACGGGUGAGUAACACGUGAGUAACCUGCCCUUGACUUUGGGAUAACUUCAGGAAACUGGGGCUAAUACCGGAUAGGAGCUCCUGCUGCAUGGUGGGGGUUGGAAAGUUUCGGCGGUUGGGGAUGGACUCGCGGCUUAUCAGCUCGUUGGUGGGGUAGUGGCUUACCAAGGCUUUGACGGGUAGCCGGCCUGAGAGGGUGACCGGCCACAUUGGGACUGAGAUACGGCCCAGACGCCUACGGGAGGCAGCAGUGGGGAAUAUUGCACAAUGGGCGGAAGCCUGAUACAGCAACGCCGCGUGCGGGAUGACGGCCUUCGGGUUGUAAACCGCUUUCGCCUGUGACGAAGCGUGAGUGACGGUAAUGGGUAAAGAAGCACCGGCUAACUACGUG